CUAUAGAAAAGGCUCAGAUCUGUGAAUAAUGUUUCGAAUCUAUACAUUUAAAUGAACCGUCCAAACAAACCGAUUCACUAGAAUGAAUCAGAUUUUCUGUGCUAAAAUAGGAAGACUCAGGUGAACUGAUUCACUAGACUCAAUUCGAAUUUUCAACACUAUAUAAGAGAAAAUGCCGUUUCGAAUGAAUCGGUUCACAAAUGAAUCAAACGUUCCGAUGCUGCAUGUUUGAUUAUUAUUCCCUCAACUCACUCGACGGUUGCAAGCUUGCUUUCCAGGGGCUUUGGCUAAACUCUGCAGGUCAGGGGCCCUCCAGGAACAAGACUGGACACCCCUGCUGUAUUAAUCCUCCUGUUGUCUCUGCUGGUAAAGCCCAAUGAUAAUCUCCAAAGGCUUAAGGAACUGAUAAUACUGAAGCUCCUCUCAUUUACUAUGAGAUGAAUGAACAUCAAGACCACUGCAGACUGGGUCCAAGAUCCUCAGCAGGAUGAAAAACAGAUGUUGAGAAAGAAUCUAUAAUGAGAGUCGAUAAACUUAUGCAGACAUUUUAGAGUGUGUGAGAAGUCUCUUCCUAUCACUUCAGAUCCCUCCACCAGAUAACUUUCUCUUUACAUUUUUACUUCCAUCCUGAAAAGACAGUACCUUCCUAAACUUAACUGGCUUAAGCUGGUCUAGCUAGUGUCCCAGUGCACAAAACCCUCUAAAACAAGGC
ensembl:lncRNA